rnacentral:rRNA from 1 species
AUGCAUCCCGGACAAACACUUCCCAACCCCGACCAACCGCAGCCACCACGCACGCACGCUAGCCGGCCCAAGGUGCUACGUACGUACGCCACCAUGAGCGCCGCCGCCCAAGAAACCACGGCCGGCGGCGGCGGCGGCGAUGGCAAGCGUCAGGGACCUUGCCGCCCGGGACACCUCAAGCUUGGCUACCACAUCGUGGUGUCCAACGCGGUCUACGUGCUGCUGGCCCCGUUCGCCGCGGCGUUGGCGCUCCGCGCGUCCCGUCUCACCCCGUCCGACCUCGCGGCAGCGCGCGCCUACCUCCUCGCCAACCUCCAGCUCGCUGCCUCCCUCGUGUCCGUCGCCACGGCCCUCGCGACGGCCUACCUCGCGCGGCGGCCGCGCGCGGUGUACCUGCUGGACUUCGCGUGCUACAAGCCCGGGCCCGACCACGUGGUCACCCGGGAGACCUUCAUGAGGCAGUCCAGCAAGGCCGGGGCGUUCACCGACGACAACCUGGCGUUCCAGCGGAAGAUCCUGGAGCGGUCGGGGCUCGGGCAGGGGACCUACUUCCCGGCGGCGGUGCUCAACUCGCCCCCUAACCCGUGCAUGGCGGAGGCGCGGCGGGAGGCGGAGGCUGUUAUGUUCGGCGCCAUCGACAGCCUGCUCGCCAAGACAGGGGUGCGGGCCAGGGACAUCGGCGUCGUGGUCGUCAACUGCAGCCUCUUCAACCCGACGCCGUCGCUCUCCGCCAUGGUCGUCAACCACUAUAAGCUCCGCGGUAACGUCGCCAGCUACAACCUCGGCGGCAUGGGAUGCAGCGCCGGGCUCAUCUCCAUCGACCUGGCCAAGCAGCUGCUCCAGGUCCACCGGAACUCGUACGCGCUGGUGGUGAGCAUGGAGAACAUCACGCUGAAUUGGUACUGGGGCAACGACCGCUCCAUGCUCAUGUCCAACUGCCUCUUCCGCAUGGGCGGCGCGGCGAUCCUCCUCAGCAACCGCGCCGCCGACAAGCGCCGCUCAAAGUACCAGCUCAUGCACACCGUGCGGACGCACCACGGCGCCGACGACCGCGCCUACCGCUGCGUGUUCCAGGAGGAGGACAAGGCUGGCCGGGUCGGCGUCGCGCUCUCCAAGGACCUCAUGGCCGUCGCCGGCGAGGCCCUCAAGACCAACAUCACCACGCUCGGCCCCCUCGUUCUCCCCAUGUCCGAGCAGAUCCUUUUCCUCACCUCUCUCAUCGGCAAGAAGAUCUUUGGCCUCAAAAUGAAGCCCUACAUUCCGGACUUCAAGAUGGCGUUCGAGCACUUCUGCAUCCAUGCCGGCGGCAGGGCGGUGCUGGACACCAUCGAGAAGAACCUGGAGCUCAGUGACUGGCACAUGGAGCCUUCAAGGAUGACGUUGAACCGGUGGGGGAACACGUCCAGCAGCUCGCUCUGGUACGAGCUUGCGUACACGGAGGCCAAGGGACGCGUCCGGCGCGGGCACCGUGCGUGGCAGAUCGCCUUCGGGUCAGGGUUCAAGUGUAACAGCGCGGUGUGGCGCGCGCUCAAGGACAUUCACCCGUCAAAGGAAGCCGGCAGCAACCCGUGGAUUGAGGAGAUCCACCGGUUCCCGGUCGAGGUGCCCAAGGUGGAGAGCGUCGUUUCAUCGCCAUGA